UAGUACUGAGAAUGGGAGACCGCCUGGGAAUACCAGGUGCUGUAAGCGUUUUC
rnacentral:rRNA from 1 species